rnacentral:rRNA from 1 species
GACGAACGCUGGCGGCGUGCUUAACACAUGCAAGUCGAACGGAAAGGCCCUGCUUUUGUGGGGUGCUCGAGUGGCGAACGGGUGAGUAACACGUGAGUAACCUGCCCUUGACUUUGGGAUAACUUCAGGAAACUGGGGCUAAUACCGGAUAGGAGCUCCUGCUGCAUGGUGGGGGUUGGAAAGUUUCGGCGGUUGGGGAUGGACUCGCGGCUUAUCAGCUUGUCGGUGGGGUAGUGGCUUACCAAGGCUUUGACGGGUAGCCGGCCUGAGGGGGUGACCGGCCACAUUGGGACUGAGAUACGGCCCAGACUCCUACGGGAGGCAGCAGUGGGGAAUAUUGCACAAUGGGCGGAAGCCUGAUGCAGCAACGCCGCGUGCGGGAUGACGGCCUUCGGGUUGUAAACCGCUUUCGCCUGUGACGAAGCGUGAGUGACGGUAAUGGGUAAAGAAGCACCGGCUAACUACGUG